UACGUAGGGGGCAAGCGUUGUCCGGAAUCAUUGGGCGUAAAGGGUGCGUAGGUGGCGGGGUAAGUCGGAUGUGAAAUCUCAGGGCUCAACCCUGAAACUGCAUUCGAUACUGCCUUGCUCGAGGACUGGAGAGGAGAUUGGAAUUCACGGUGUAGCAGUGAAAUGCGUAGAUAUCGUGAGGAAGACCAGUGGCGAAGGCGGAUCUCUGGACAGUUCCUGACACUGAGGCACGAAGGCCAGGGGAGCAAACGGG
rnacentral:rRNA from 1 species